AGGUGGGAAGUUCUUGGAGGGAAGGAUACUGGGGGUCUGUUUGGAAACAGACUCUCUACCCCAGGGUAGGGGUAAGGUCUGCGUACAUACUACCCUCCCCAGACCCCACUAAGUAGGAUUAUACUGGAUGGUACUUUCUUUCUUUUUUUGUAUGAAUAUGGACAACACAAAGCUAUGAGCUCCCUGAAACCAGUAAACCAAGUUCAAGCUGUGCAUAAAUGAAUUUAAACAUAUGUUUUAUGGAAAACUAGACCCAGCUCAGAUUUCAACAUCCCAAACAUGAUUUGGACUAACAGACAUAAAACCCAUAGCUACACCCAAAAUCAACUAACUCAUGAUCAAGCUAAAGAAACAGAACCUUCGGUUAAUACGCAUACCCAACAUCUAAUAUAUAGCUGAAUUGGAUACGUUCAAUACAGAAACCAUUUUUAAUUUUAAGAAACAAAUGCAGUAGUGAUUACAGGAUUAUUUACACAGAAGAAAACUUAGCUAGGAGGAGGGGAGAAACACAAGGCAACAAACUUAAAGAAAAGGAAAUUGAUAGAGCCACAGAGAGAAAUCAUUUUCUUCAACUGAAAUUCACAUCUUCAUACAAUAGCCUAAAACAAACAUCAGUUCCACACAUAGUUCAGAUGAAAUACCUGGGAAACAAAAGGAAACAAGGACAAGUGAGGAUUAAGUAAACACAGCAACAACAAAUCAGCAACCAGAUUUCAACGGAACAGUGACCAGUAAGCCAAACAGCUUCAAACCAAUCUGUUAACUUCCCAGAAUCAAACCAUUUUUGGACCCAAAAUGAAUAAAAAAUUCUUUGAAGUCUUUAAGUCCUUGUUAAUAGUAAAGCCAAAGAUGCAAUUCCAAAACUAAUUUCAAUUAAAAUGUUGCCGAACCUUUUUUGUCUUUUUAGAGUAUGAAAGGAUUUUUUUAGAAGUUUUGUGCAGAAAAAUGAGGCCUGAAAUUUGCCCUUGAGUGAAGGAAAUGCAACCUCUUUAUAGGCAUAGGGAAAUGCCAUGUGCUGAAACAGAAUAGGAAUAUUUCCAGCCUGCAAAAGCAUCUUUCUUUUAAUUAGUUGGGACAACUGUCGUCCUUAAAUUGGUUUUUGCACUUGUGCUGGCCAAAUAAGGCCAGCUGCCCCUUAUUCUAGAUCAUUCCAAUAGGUUCUUUUACCUUAGCCAGGUUUACCCACCCCCUCAGAUAUACCCCUGAAGUUUUCUUUUUUGUUCAAUUGAACCCUACAAAUAUACAUCCAUUUAUUUACAGAUUAUAGAAAUAAUCAACGGAACCAAUAAUUAUCCUAAAUCAAAUUAAAAGGACGGCCCAACUCAGAAUCAACCAUACUGGUCUAUAUUAGUAUAGGCAAUAUAAACAUACAAUAGAAUACUGAAAGCCCUAAAUCAUGCUAACUCAAUCAGAAAACAAUUAUGAAAGGGAAUAUAACAGAAAAAGAAAAAGAGCGGAAAAUAACACACAGACAUGAAUUUCGGACUGAAACUAAUUAAUACCACUGACUGAAUAAUGGUUAACAAAACAAAAGAAAAUAAAAUUAUAUGAAGAGAGAAAAAAAACUAAAUAAGACAGUAGUCUAAUAAAAAAACACUUUUUUUCUUUUCUUUUCCUUUUCACAAACAUGAACCAGAAUAUUAAAAGAAAAACAAAGACAAGGUUGUACCUAAUGAGAUGUGGGAAGAAUCUGAAGUGGAUCUCGUGAUUGGGCUUCAAUAUAGCUCAAAAUUGACCCCGAUUGAUUGUUGUUGUCAAGAAGAAUACAUUUUGGGUGAGUUUCGAACUAUCGAAUGGAAAGAAACACGACGGAAUGAACAUGCAGGAACCAAUCUCCUUUUUUCAUUCAGAUUUGACAUUUGACUGGUUUGAGGAGGAUUUGGGGAAAUAACUUAUGAAUUUGAAAAGGAGGGGUAAAGAUGUUUAUAAGGUAAAGAUUUGAAGGUGUUUGGAGAGAAACCGCAGUCCUGAGAAGAUUUCCGGUGGGUGGCGGCUAGGGUUCAGGUUGUGUAAGUUUGAGAGAGAAAUAGGGUGGCCAGGGUUUGCUGGGGUUAGAGACAGAUGGGAAUGAAAGGGGUUCUCUAGGGUAUGGGGGGAUGUCUUCGGACAUAUAAAAGGGAAUCAAAGCCUAGUUCCCAACUGUUGGAUCCUGAAGGAUCAACAGAUGGGAUUUGAAUGCUGGAAAUGGUGUCGUUAUGGGUGGAGAUUGCGAGAACGGGUAGUUGAGCAUGGGUUGGAACGGUAUUUGAAAGGAAUUGGGCCAGGGAUGUUUGGGACUUGGCCCCAAUUGGGUUUUAAGAACAAAUUCCCUUUCCUUUUCUUUUGUUCUA
rnacentral:lncRNA from 1 species